AGUCGUAACAAGGUAUCCGUAGGUGAACCUGCGGAUGGAUCAUUAUUAUAAAUGAGAGAUUUUAAUUAUAAAUGAAAAACCCGUUAUUCAUUUUUUUGAAUAAUUCGUCCGGUAAUUUAUAAUUAAAUUUUUCUUUAUAUUUGGCCAAUUUCGAAAGAAUAUUGGUUUUAAUUUGGUUAUAGUAUAUGUAUUUUAUAAUUUUAUUUUUAAAACCACUUUUUCUUUAUUUUUAUAAAGAAAAACCGUUUUAUUAAAAUAUAAAUUAUACAAAUACUUUUUUGUAUAAAACAAAUUUGGAUAAAUUUUAAUUUGUUAAAAAACAAAAAUUAAAAUACAACUUGUAACAAUGGAUAUCUUGGUUCUCGU
rnacentral:misc_RNA from 1 species